AUUGAACGCUAGCGGGAUGCCUUACACAUGCAAGUCGAACGGCAGCACGGACUUCGGUCUGGUGGCGAGUGGCGAACGGGUGAGUAAUGUAUCGGAACGUGCCUAGUAGCGGGGGAUAACUACGCGAAAGCGUAGCUAAUACCGCAUACGCCCUACGGGGGAAAGCAGGGGAUCGCAAGACCUUGCACUAUUAGAGCGGCCGAUAUCGGAUUAGCUAGUUGGUGGGGUAACGGCUCACCAAGGCGACGAUCCGUAGCUGGUUUGAGAGGACGACCAGCCACACUGGGACUGAGACACGGCUCAGACUCCUACGGGAGGCAGCAGUGGGGAAUUUUGGACAAUGGGGGAAACCCUGAUCCAGCCAUCCCGCGUGUGCGAUGAAGGCCUUCGGGUUGUAAAGCACUUUUGGCAGGAAAGAAACGUCAUGGGUUAAUACCCCGUGAAACUGACGGUACCUGCAGAAUAAGCACCGGCUAACUACGUGCCAGCAGCCGCGGUAAUACGUAGGGUGCAAGCGUUAAUCGGAAUUACUGGGCGUAAAGCGUGCGCAGGCGGUUCGGNNGAAAGAUGUGAAAUCCCAGAGCUUAACUUUGGAACUGCAUUUUUAACUACCGAGCUAGAG
rnacentral:rRNA from 1 species